rnacentral:rRNA from 1 species
GUCUACGGCCAUGCCACCCUGAACAAACUCAAUGUCUGAUCUUGGAAGCUAAGCAGGAUUGGGCCUGAUUAGUACUUGGAUGGGAGAUCACCUAGGAAGACCAGGUGCUAUAGGCA